rnacentral:rRNA from 1 species
CCUACGGGUGGCAGCAGUGGGGAAUAUUGGGCAAUGGACGCAAGCCUGACCCAGCAACGCCGCGUGAAGGAAGAAGGCUUUCGGGUUGUAAACUUCUUUUGUCAGGGACGAAGCAAGUGACGGUACCUGACGCAUAAGCCACGGCUAACUACGUGCCAGCAGCCGCGGUAAUACGUAGGUGGCAAGCGUUAUCCGGAUUUACUGGGUGUAAAGGGCGUGUAGGCGGGGAAGCAAGUCAGAUGUGAAAACCACGGGCUCAACCUGUGGCCUGCAUUUGAAACUGUUUUUCUUGAGUGCUGGAGAGGCAAUCGGAAUUCCGUGUGUAGCGGUGAAAUGCGUAGAUAUACGGAGGAACACCAGUGGCGAAGGCGGAUUGCUGGACAGUAACUGACGCUGAGGCGCGAAAGCGUGGGGAGCAAACAGGAUUAGAUACCCCUGUAGUC